rnacentral:RNase_P_RNA from 1 species
GGAGCCGGCCAGACAGUCGCGUCAUGCUUCCAGCAUGCCGAGGAAAGUCCGGGCUCCACAGGGCACGGUGCCAGGUAACGCCUGGGCGGCGCGAGCCGACGGCCAGUGCAACAGAAAGCAAACCGCCGAUGGCCGCACCUUCGGGUGCGGAUCAGGUAAGGGUGAAACGGUGCGGUAAGAGCGCACCGCGAGUCUGGCAACAGACCGGCACGGUAAACCCCACCGGGAGCAAGACCAAAUAGGGAGACAUUGCCGCGGCCCGCGGUGUCUCCGGGUAGGUUGCUUGAGCGUAUUGGUGACGAUGCGCCUAGAGGAAUGACUGUCCCAGACAGAACCCGGCUUAUCGGCCGGCUCCGCCA